CCCCUCUAAGGGUCACACCUGGAGAGAUACCAGUACUCUACUAGUCUCGACUACGGGAAGAAGAGUCAAGCAGAGGAAUAUCCAUUCCAUUCCUAGCUUGGGCAAUGGCUAGUGAGUGGAAGACAAUCUACUACAAGU